GGAAUGGUCUCUCUAUCUCUCUCCCAUAUGCACAACCAAAAUAAUGGUAAGUCUACUGAAAAAUCACUAUGCAUUUCUAAAUUCAAACCAAUAAUGUCUUAUUGGCAAUGGCAGCACGUGACACAUAAAUCCAAUAUAAUUCAUAUUUUCUGGGUGUUUUUACCCUGAAACUUUGAUCACAGUGUCUUAGAACCAUCAACUGCUUUUUACUCUUGCUUUCUACACCAACUCAAACUAUUGCCAAGCACAAGACAUGGAAUUUCAGGCCAACUGCAAAUUUGCAAUUGUGACUAUGGGAACUAUAAUCUACAGGCUUCCAUUUGCCUGGAAAUAUAUUUGCUACAGACUGCUAUUCGGCCUGGAUUUCAUGAUCUCAAUCACUGACUGCUUGCAUAAUGCAUUAUAAAAUAGUCACUCUUAUCAGCUUGAUGGUUUCUCCAAUAGAGAUCCAUCAAAAGGAAAGCAAGUGAUUUCAGUUUUCAAGUAUAAUCUGAGAUUCUUUGCUUCACAUGAAGAAUGACAUAUGAGUUCUGCUAAUCAUGUAUUUAGUUUUGGCUGUAUCUGUUAUCUAUGUCACUUCACUUUACAAUGCAAAAUUCUUGUCUGCAAAUAGAAAGACCAACGUUCAAAUUAUCCACAAUCAACAUUCCUUCUAGUUCCUUUAUUUGGAUCUCAAACCUCUAAAUUCAAAUCAUGAGCGAUAUCAAUCAACUUAAUGAAGAGGAAUCUGCCAGCUGCGUUAAGAGUGCGACAACAUCAUCUGAAGUUCCGAGGAGAUAUCGAGCAUUUGAUUGCUUCCUUGAAACGGCACAAGAAAAGUAGUUCUCCCCCUUGAGAUCAAGUACAGAAGAACCCUCAUGAACUGAAAUUCUAUCGGGAACAAUUGGCCGCCAACCAGCACUUCCAAGACUGUUCCCUUCUAAAGUCGACAAGGAACGUUGUUUCUUGUGGUGAGACUUGGAACGGCUUCUGCCACUGGGAAUCUUUGGGACAGGUAAACCAACAGGCCCUGGUGAUCUGCAUCUUACUGUAGCAAGGGUUUCACUGGGAAGCUCUGGCUCAAAAAAUGUAUAGAUAUCUUCAUCCUGAAACAAUGAAUCCAAAAGUGAAAUGAGUAAGAGUUCACACUUCAAUCAAACUGCAGUGUCACUGGAAGUUUCCUUCAAAUUAACAUACACUUAAUCCAGUUAGAUUAGACCCAACUAGGGUACCUUUCUUAUCUAUCCAACUGGAUUUGCCAGGUUGAAGGUUGCAGGUAUAGCCCAAAGGAAUUAACUUCUUUGUGUAGGAUUAGUUUACGGGAUGGGCUUGGGUCAAUUAUCUCCCAUACAUUUCUAGGGCCGAGCAAGCACUUUUAAAUGUCAAUUAGAGGUACUGAUCCAGCCAUUCUAAACACCAGAAAUUGUUCCAAAGAAAUAAAGAAUAGGGUGGUUUCCAGAUUUCCUUCCUAGGACGUAACUUCAGCAUGCCAGAAAAUAUAAAAAAUGGUGCUGUUAGGUGCAGCAAGGAUAAGAAUCCUUUUAAUAUCAAACGGUACAAAUGGAGUUCAU
rnacentral:misc_RNA from 1 species